rnacentral:tRNA from 1 species
UGGCUUAAUGGUUAGGGCGUUUGACUUCUGGUCAACUGGUUGCGGGUUCAAGCCUCGC